CCACCAAAAAGCGAAGAACCCAAUGCAACGGUCAAUUGAACGGAUACCCGCAUGAGGGGCACGUGCGGCGGCCACUAGUCACUUCCCCCACAACGGUCAUAUUUCACCGACAUCACACAACGGUCACAUGAUUAUAUGGCAUCAGCGAUGGGCCGUUGGAUGAUGAUCGUACGGUUGAGAAGGGGAGGUUGGGGUUGUUCCGUGGUGCCCGCUGUCAUCAUCUCUAUUCCUUUUUCUUUCUCCCUCCGCCGAUUCUUACAUCAAAUCAGGGUUUAGUGUAGGCCCAGCCACGCAUUCACACCACAACACAACUUACUCACUCACUGCGACGAUGAUGGAGACAGCCUUGGAGUGUUGAAGACCACAACAACAUGAAGCUGGUUCAUGCAGGGGAGAGGACCCUAUAGCAUAGUGUUGUGUUAAACUAUAACAUUUACUAUUAUAUAAAAGCACAACGCUUUUAAGGUUUGUGUUUUCUCUUUUAGGUAAGUGAUUGAUGGCGUUCGGAGAGGUGUUAGGGGGAUUUUGUUUCUGUUCUUGUUCCCUCCCCUGGCGCGGGUAAUUGAGCCAUGACGUUGUUGUUGAGAGUUUCCAGUGCUAAUAAUAAUGAUAUGGGUUUGAAUGUUUCUCAGGAGUUCAGCCAUCACUACCACCACCACCACUUUGAAGGAGUAUGUUUCUGUUUCCCCUCCCUUGUUUCUGUUAAAACUACUACUACUACUCGGCACUUUGCCAUGACCCUUGUUUGAGUUUAUCUGGAAUCCGAUGAUCGUUUUGUGCAUGUGUUAGGUUAGUUUCUUUCCAAAUUCAUUCUUUCAUUCUUUUAUUGUUAUUACUUACUUACUGGGUUGGGACCAUUCUUUUUUUGCAUAUACAGAUUCAUUUCUUCACAUACAUACCUACACACUGAAUUUGUAAAGAAACACACUAGAAAGCUUGAUUAAAUUUGUUUGAAACAUAUUCAUCGGAUUCCUUUCUUUUUCUCUUGUUUCUCAUUCUGUGGACACAAAAUCUUGCUAACUAGAAACUUCAUCCACUGGCAUUCACUCUGCAUUUCCCCUCUUGUAAAGUUUUACUACAUACAUGUUGAUUGUUGGGCCAGGGUCUAGCUAGUUGAGAAAACAAACACAUACAUAACAUUUUCCUACAUCCACCAUAUUAUAUAUUACAUACAUCACUUGAUCAAGCUAUUUACUAGAUACAAAAGAAAAAAGGGAAGGGAAAAAGAAGCAGGUACCAUAGCAGGAGCAGGAAGCAGCAGCAGCAUUGGGGAAGAGAAGGAAAACGGGGGGAUUAACCAGCAACAGAAAAAGCAAUAGAGGAUGUUGGCUGGGUGUUCUAGUUCUACAUUGUUGUCACCAAGGCAUAGAUUGAGGAGCGAACCAUCACCACAGUUUCAUCAUCAAGCUUGUCAUCUUCAGCUACCACCUUCCAUGAGCACGCAGAGAUUGGACUUGCCAGCUUGCACCUUCCCAAGGAACAACAAAGUCUCACCAAGGCCUUCUGUUGUCACCACCAACACCAACACCAACAAGCCCAUUGAAGCCAAGACAAGCUCUUAUUCUCUCAAGCAGCACAUUAGGCUUCCGCCAUUGGCAACCACACCACAACUUAUCACAUCUGCACCACCUUCACCCUUCCUUGAAGCCAAAGAAGAGCCCUUCUGGGACAACAACAACAACAACAGGAGCUUGAAGAAGAGGCCAGUGGAUAAUGACGACUCUUUUGACAGCAGAGCCAAGAGGAAGAAGGGUAGCAACAGCAACAGCAACAGCACCAGCGACAAUGGCGAUUCUUCCGAUGAUGUUAUGGAAGAAGAAGGAACAGGAGAGGGUCUGAGUUUAUCUGCAAACUUCUGGUUACAGCCAUCUUCACUUCCUCCAUUCUCUCUAACAUGUUCAGGGGAGGAAGAGAGGGUGUGCUUCGUUCCAAGCGAGGUGGUUUCCGCUCCUUGGGUGGAAUCCGCAAUAACAAAGAUAACAAACCAUGGCGAGAAGGAAGGCGAGGGUGGUGGCAGCCGCUUCCCUCCGCCACAACCCUCAGCCUCCUCCAACACCUCAUCAGAGAGCCAAGGUUUAAGCCUCAGGCUGAACGAGAAUCCUGAAGUCGGAAACGGUUCAGGUAACCCUUACCAUAACCACCACCAUGAAGAAACCACCGCGGAGGAAGACGAAGAUAUCCAAGAGGAGCACCGUGGAUUCGAGCUUGUUAGUUUACUAACCGCAUGCGUUGAAGCCAUUGGAACAAAGAACAUCGCCGCAAUCAACCAUUUCAUAGCAAAAUUAGGAGAUCUUGCUUCACCAAGAGGAACAAGUUCAAUGAGCCGAAUCUGUUCUUACUUCACAGAAGCCCUAGCCAUAAGAGUGACGAGGCUAUGGCCUCACAUUUUCCACAUCACCAUCCCUCGGGAGCUCGAUCGUGUUGUGGAAGACGAAAACGGCACCGCAUUGAGGCUCUUGAACCAAAUCACACCGAUCCCUAAGUUCCUUCACUUCACAUCCAACGAGAUGCUGCUGAGAGCCUUCGAAGGCAAAGACAGAGUCCACAUCAUAGAUUUCGACAUCAAGCAAGGUCUUCAAUGGCCGAGCUUGUUCCAGAGCUUGGCUUCCAGAUCGAACCCUCCCAGCCACGUCAGAAUCACCGGCAUCGGCGAAUCCAAGCAAGAUCUGAACGAAACAGGUGACAGGCUCGCCGGUUUCGCGGAGGCGUUGAACCUUCCGUUCGAGUUCCAUGGAGUGGUGGACAGGCUGGAAGACGUGAGGCUGUGGAUGCUUCACGUGAAGGAGAACGAAACGGUUGCGGCGAACUGUGUGUUCCAGCUUCACAAGACUCUGUACGACGUAAACGGCGGAGCGUUGAGAGAUUUUUUGGGACUGAUACGAAGCACGAACCCCGCAAUGGUGGUUGUGGCGGAGCAAGAAGCAGAGCACAACGAUAUGAGGUUGGAGGCUAGGGUUUGCAACUCGUUGAAAUACUACUCAGCGUUGUUUGACUCGGUUGAGCACUGUCUUGAAGGGGAUAGCAGUGCGAGGAGGAAGAUAGAGGAGAUGUUUGGAAGGGAGAUUAGGAACAUUGUGGCUUGUGAGGGGAGUGAUAGGUUGGAGAGGCAUGAGGGUUUUGGGAAGUGGAGGAAGAUGAUGGUGGAGCAAGGAGGGUUCAGGUGCUUGGGUGUUACUGAGAGAGAAAGGGUUCAGAGCCAGUUGCUGAUGAAGAUGUACCCUUGUGACAGUUACAGUGUUAGGAAUCAUUCAAGUGAGGCUCUCAGUCUUUGUUGGAUGGACAUUCCUUUGUUCACUGUUUCAGCUUGGGCACCUCUUGAUGCUGCAGGAACCUCUUCAUCUGUUUCUCAGCCAAUUUGAUUUCAUUUCUUUGUUUCUAUACACACAAAGGGAAGGUAACAUUCUUUAAUUUCUCUAGGUAGGGGGAUCAAACACCAAACAAAUUUGUUAUUAUUAUUAUUCUUUCAUUCUUUGUUGCAGAUAACAUUUCUCAUAUUUGUAGUAAUUCAAUUAUUUUUAUAGUCCAAUUCUUUGUAUGUUUCUGGAGUUGGUCAUGAUUCCGAGUUUUAUUCAUUUUAUAUGUGAAGAAGUGAAUCCCAUUGAUCUGUGUCAGCUUCAGGCAGGAAAAUGACGAAUCCAUACGAGUGUCCUUCCGUGUUCUUCCUCACCAUAUCUUUCUUGUUAUCAACUUAUCAUCACUCAUUCCGAUGCGGUAGAAGUUGUAGUGCUUAUGAUAAGAUGGAUCGAUGAUUAACAUUAACGAGCAAGUUGAGGAGUGAGGAGGAGGGGUUUAUGUGAAAGUCUUCAAGAUAUUUUGUAUUAUUGUUAAUACAAAAUAAUGUUUUGACAGUGACGAAUUCUAUUUUGAUACAAUGAUGAUGCACCGUUCUAAUCAUUAAAUGUAGGGUGUCGGGUAGGGCCGGCUUUACUCUGGUCGGAUACUUUGUUUUGAUUUUAUUUAUUUUGUAGAUCCUUAUUCCUUAUUCAACAUUUAAAUACAACGAAAUCUAAUAAUAUUCGGAUUAAACUUAA